CGUCUGGCUUGGCCGGGGCGCUUGGCGUGCCCUACACCCGAAAUCGUCAAUACGCGGGGGCGACAGCAGGGGACGGCCCCGCUGAACUACCAAGCCCAUCGAGUGACAAUGAGAUCUUGUCCUGUAGAGUCGGAGUCGGUAAAGAAGACGGCCGGAGGGUCGUUGUUCGUACCUCAUUGGGGAAACCGGGUCAGGUCCUGACGGGAGCAGCCUUACUCUGAGCUGCCGACGUUUACGGGAAAGCAGGGUUGAGGAGCGGAAUGGCAAACUUGGUUUGGGAGGAGAGGACAACUUCUGUGGCCAGGCG
rnacentral:SRP_RNA from 1 species